rnacentral:lncRNA from 1 species
AAAGUUCUCAUACUUAUGGGUGAGUAGUUAAGUAUUCUCCUUGAAAUGACAAAAUGUCUUUUCAUUAAAAAUGAAUCAAAGCAAACACCUUUGUUAUUUUACCACGAACUACAAAGUUUUAAUCCUCUAUUGCACUUUGUUGGUACGUAGGCAUGAGACUUCAAAAGAUCUGGGCAAACACCAAAAAUCAUAAAAAAAC